GACGAACGCUGGCGGCGUGCCUAAUACAUGCAAGUCGAGCGGGGAUUAUGCUUGAUCGCUUCGGUGAGACGGCAUAUAUCCUAGCGGCGGACGGGUGAGUAACGCGUGGGUAAUCUACCUCGUAGUUCGGGAUAACAGGCCGAAAGGCUUGCUAAUACCGGAUGAGUUCAUGCUUAUGCAUAUAGGCAUGAAGAAAGGGCUAGCCCGCUAUGAGAUGAGCCCGCGUCCCAUUAGCUUGUUGGUGGGGUAAUGGCCUACCAAGGCAACGAUGGGUAGCCGGCCUGAGAGGGUGUACGGCCACACUGGGACUGAGACACGGCCCAGACUCCUACGGGAGGCAGCAGCAGGGAAUCUUGGGCAAUGGGCGAAAGCCUGACCCAGCGACGCCGCGUGGAGGAAGAAGUCCUUCGGGCGUAACUCCUGGACGUGGGGACGAGGAAGGACGGUACCCCGAGUAGAAAGGGACGGACUAACGUAACGUGCCAGCAGACCGCGGUAAAUAGCGUA
rnacentral:rRNA from 1 species